rnacentral:rRNA from 1 species
AAACUGCGAAUGGCUCAUUAAAUCAGUUAUCGUUUAUUUGAUAGUACCUUACUACAUGGAUAACCGUGGUAAUUCUAGAGCUAAUACAUGCUAAAAACCCCGACUUCGGGAGGGGUGUAUUUAUUAGAUAAAAAACCAAUGCCCUUCGGGGCUCCUUGGUGAAUCAUAAUAACUUAACGAAUCGCAUGGCCUUGCGCCGGCGAUGGUUCAUUCAAAUUUCUGCCCUAUCAACUUUCGAUGGUAGGAUAGUGGCCUACCAUGGUAUCAACGGGUAACGGGGAAUUAGGGUUCUAUUCCGGAGAGGGAGCCUGAGAAACGGCUACCACAUCCAAGGAAGGCAGCAGGCGCGCAAAUUACCCAAUCCCGACACGGGGAGGUAGUGACAAUAAAUACUGAUACAGGGCUCUUUUGGGUCUUGUAAUUGGAAUGAGUACAAUUUAAAUCCCUUAACGAGGAACAAUUGGAGGGCAAGUCUGGUGCCAGCAGCCGCGGUAAUUCCAGCUCCAAUAGCGUAUAUUAAAGUUGUUGCAGUUAAAAAGCUCGUAGUUGAACCUUGGGCCUGGCUGGCCGGUCCGCCUCACCGCGUGUACUGGUCCGGCCGGGCCUUUCCUUCUGGGGAGCCGCAUGGCCUUCACUGGCCGUGUCGGGGAACCAGGACUUUUACUUUGAAAAAAUUAGAGUGUUCAAAGCAGGCCUUUGCUCGAAUACAUUAGCAUGGAAUAAUAGAAUAGGACGUGCGAUCCUAUUUUGUUGGUUUCUAGGACCGCCGUAAUGAUUAAUAGGGAUAGUCGGGGGCAUCAGUAUUCAAUUGUCAGAGGUGAAAUUCUUGGAUUUAUUGAAGACUAACUACUGCGAAAGCAUUUGCCAAGGAUGUUUUCAUUAAUCAGUGAACGAAAGUUAGGGGAUCGAAGACGAUCAGAUACCGUCGUAGUCUUAACCAUAAACUAUGCCGACUAGGGAUCGGUGGAUGUUACUAUUAUGACUCCAUCGGCACCUUACGAGAAAUCAAAGUUUUUG